GACAGAGGGUGCAAGCGUUGUUCGGAAUCAUUGGGCGUAAAGCGCACGUAGGUGGUCUUGUAAGUCGGGUGUGAAAGCCCAGGGCUUAACCCUGGAAGUGCACCCGAAACUGCUCGACUUGAGUCCCGGAGAGGGUGGCGGAAUUCCGAGUGUAGAGGUGAAAUUCGUAGAUAUUCGGAGGAACACCAGUGGCGAAGGCGGCCACCUGGACGGAGACUGACACUGAGGUGCGAAAGCGUGGGUAGCAAACAGG
rnacentral:rRNA from 1 species